GCGAGAAACUUCCACAAUGGGCGAAAGCCUGAUGGAGCGACGUCGCGUGAUGGACGAAGUGCUUCGGCACGUAAACAUCUUUUAUGUGGGAUGAAAUUAUUGACAGUACCACAUGAAUAAGGGGCUCCUAACUCUGUGCCAGCAGGAGCGGUAAUACAGAGACCCCAAGCGUUAUCCGGAAUCACUGGGCGUAAAGGGUGUCGAGGCGGUUGUAUUAGUCGUUCGUAAAAUCUACGAGCUUAACUUGUAGGCGGCGAACGAAACGGUACGACUUGAGGUUUGGAGAGGUGCGUGGAACUCACGGUGUAGGGGUGAAAUCCGUUGAUAUCGUGGGGAACACCAAAGGCGAAGGCAGCGCACUGGCCAAAAUCUGACGCUCACACACGAAAGCUAGGGUAGCGAAGAGGAUUAGAUACCCCCGUAGUCCCUGAGCGGGCUGGCAAGGCGCAU
rnacentral:rRNA from 1 species